UACGAAGGGGCGAGCGUUAGGCGGAAUCACUGGGCUUAAAGCGUGUGUAGGCGGGUCGGUAAGUACCUUGUGAAAUCCCACGGCUCAACCGUGGAACUGCUGGGUAUACUGCCGAUCUUGUGCAACCUAGGGGCGAGCGGAACAGAUGGGUGGAGCGGUGAAAUGCGUAGAUAUCAUCUGGAACGCCAAUGGUGAAAACAGCUCGCUGGGGGUUUGCAGACGCUGAGACACGAAAGCCAGGGGAGCGAACGGG
rnacentral:rRNA from 1 species